rnacentral:lncRNA from 1 species
CGUAAUAAUUCAUACAAUAGAUCUACUACAUGAGCAUAAUGAUGAAUCCAUAUACAAUAAAAUACUUAAGCUCCUAAAAACCUGUGUAUUUCUGUUAAAGAAUCACAUGAAUCCUUCAACCUUCCAAUUGCAUCAACUUUGCUUGGAUCUGACUGUCUCCCAUAAAAUCGAUACAAAUAUCCAACAAUAAGAACUUUCUGUACUCCAAAUGUAGAUUUUGUUCCUGAAAGUCUUGCUUGAGAAUGCUCCGGGCACUUGGCUGUGGAAAGAAGAAUGGAAAUUAUAAUAAUAAAAUUCUAAUUCUAAUAGAAUACUAACAAUGCUCUAAUUAGAUCAUAAUAAUGCUAAUAAAGCUUAAUCAAAUUCAAAAAAAUCUCAAAGAAAUUUCAAACAAACAAUAAGAAUUAUUAAAGAAAUAUUAAAAGGAUCACAAAUAUCACUCAAAUACAUCUCAAUUCAAUCUUAAUUUAAUUCUUGUUAAAAUCCUAUUGAAAUUCAUUCAAACUUUAGACCAAAACUAAUUGAAUCUUAAAUCUUAAUAAAAUCCUAAACCUUGAAUCAUACCCUAAACAAAUCUUAAACCAAACCCCAACCAAAUCCUAAACCAAAUCCUAAAACAAACCCUAACCAAAUCCUAAACCAAAUCCUAAAUCCUAAAUCAAAUCCUAAUCAAAUUCUAAUCCAAAUCCUAAAUCUUAAAGCAAACUCUAAUUCAAAUCCUAAAUAAAAUCUUAACCAAACCCUAAUACAAAUCCUACACCUUAAAUCAAACCCUAACCAAAUCCUAAUCCAAAUCCUAAAUCCUAAAUCAAAUCCUAAACCAAAUCCUAAAUCCUAAAUCCUAAAUCAAAUCUUAAACCAUACCCUAACCUUAACAAAUCCUAAAUCCUAAACCUAAUCCUAACCAAAUCCUAAUUCUAAACCCUA